AACGAACGCUGGCGGCAGGCUUAACACAUGCAAGUCGAACGCGCCCUUCGGGGCGAGUGGCAGACGGGUGAGUAACGCGUGGGAACCUACCUUUUGGUACGGAAUAACUCAGGGAAACUUGAGCUAAUACCGUAUGUGCCCUUCGGGGGAAAGAUUUAUCGCCAAAGGAUGGGCCCGCGUCGGAUUAGCUAGUUGGUGGGGUAAUGGCCUACCAAGGCGACGAUCCGUAGCUGGUCUGAGAGGAUGAUCAGCCACACUGGGACUGAGACACGGCCCAGACUCCUACGGGAGGCAGCAGUGGGGAAUAUUGGACAAUGGGGGCAACCCUGAUCCAGCCAUGCCGCGCGAGUGAUGAAGGCCUUAGGGUUGUAAAGCUCUUUCGCCGGUGAAGAUAAUGACGGUAACCGGAGAAGAAGCCCCGGCUAACUUCGUGCCAGCCGCCGCAGUAAAAC
rnacentral:rRNA from 1 species